ACAAGCGGUGGAGUAUGUGUUUAAUUCGAUGCAACGCGAAGAACUUACCUGGUCUUGACAUCCCGGAGACCCUUAGGAACUAGGGGUGCUUCCAUCUGGAAGAAUCUGGAGACAGGUGCUGCAUGGCUGUCGUCAGCUCGUGUCGUGAGAUGUUGGGUUAAGUCCCGCAACGAGCGCAACCCUUGCCUUUAGUUGCCAGCAGUUCGGCUGGGCACUCUAAAGGGACUGCCGGUGUUAAACCGGAGGAAGGUGGGGAUGACGUCAAGUCCUCAUGGCCUUUAUGACCAGGGCUACACACGUACUACAAUGGCCGAUACAAAGGGCAGCGACACUGCGAGGUGAAGCCAAUCCCGUAAAAUCGGUCUCAGUCCGGAUUGGAGUCUGCAACUCGACUCCAUGAAGUUGGAAUCGCUAGUAAUCGUGGAUCAGCAUGCCACGGUGAAUACGUUCCCGGGCCUU
rnacentral:rRNA from 1 species